rnacentral:rRNA from 1 species
UACGUAGGGUGCAAGCGUUGUCCGGAAUUAUUGGGCGUAAAGAGCUCGUAGGCGGUUUGUCGCGCCUGCUGUGAAAACUCGGGGCUUAACCCCGGGCCUGCAGUGGGUACGGGCAGACUAGAGUGCGGUAGGGGAGACUGGAAUUCCUGGUGUAGCAGUGAAAUGCGUAGAUAUCAGGAGGAACACCGAUGGCGAAGGCAGGUCUCUGGGCUGACACUGACGCUCAUGCACGAAAGCGUGGGGAGCAAACAGG